GGCCUUGUGGUCUAGUGGUAUGAUUCGUGCUUCGGGUUUAGAGCCCUUACUUCUAAAAAGCAAAUGUGCGAGGUCUCGGGUUCAAUCCCCGACAAGGCCC